rnacentral:rRNA from 1 species
GACGAACGCUGGCGGCGUGCUUAACACAUGCCAGUCGAACGGAAAGGCCCUGCUUUUGUGGGGUGCUCGAGUGGCGAACGGGUGAGUAACACGUGAGUAACCUGCCCUUGACUUUGGGAUAACUUCAGGAAACUGGGGCUAAUACCGGAUAGGAGCUCCUGCUGCAUGGUGGGGGUUGGAAAGUUUCGGCGGUUGGGGAUGGACUCGCGGCUUAUCAGCUUGUUGGUGGGGUAGUGGCUUACCAAGGCUUUGACGGGUAGCCGGCCUGAGAGGGUGAUCGGCCACAUUGGGACUGAGAUACGGCCCAGACUCCUACGGGAGGCAGCAGUGGGGAAUAUUGCACAAUGGGCGGAAGCCUGAUGCAGCAACGCCGCGUGCGGGAUGACGGCCUUCGGGUUGUAAACCGCUUUCGCCUGUGACGAAGCGUGAGUGACGGUAAUGGGUAAAGAAGCACCGGCUAACUACGUG